rnacentral:misc_RNA from 1 species
GUUUUCAGACAACUCAAAACAAAAGGAAAAGGGGGGAAGCCAAAAAAAGCAAGUAAAAUUGAGAAUGUCAACAGCACAUUUUACACACAAGCUCCCACCAUUGUGUUUGUUCAAACUUAAAACUUUACACAUGGACAAGAGGUGCAACUGCACAUCCACAGGAACAUCUGCCAGUCUAAUUUGUAUAUGCACGAGUACAAUUUAACUGUAAAUAGGCAAAAACUAUAAAUGCAUAAUACAACUUUAUGCAGAAAAAUUAUAAAAAUAAUAACUUACACCUUAGCUUUAGCUUUUUAAUUCCUAGAAAUAGUGACGCUGCUGCCUGAAAAGAUGAAUAAAAUGAAACCAACUAGCAUUUCAUUCACUCUUGUUCAGAAACAGAGUGACGAUCCUAAAUGACAUAGUUAAUAUUAUAACAAAUCAGAAAGCAUUUCCUCAGGGAUUUGUCCUGAAAUGAUGGCGCUCAUUUGGCUGCAAUUCUGACUUUGGGGGGCCAUUGUAGCCAUCAAGCAGGUCAUGAAUUUUGGAAUAUGUCAACACCUGAGAAGCGUCAACCCCACCGCUGCUUUGUGAUGCAUGUGAACUCUCCUGCAGCUUAAUUUUCUCAAAAAGAUACUGCUUCUCAGCUUCUGCUUCACUUAAACGAAGUUUGAGGUAGCUGCUGGCAUAUUCUUCUUCUGAUUUGUCAGUCUUAGCAAGAGCAAUUCUCUGCAGCCUCUCAGCCUCUCGUUUUGCCUCAUUGGCCUUGAGCUGGAACAUAUCAGCCUCUGCCUGCUUAAGCCUCACAAUUCUCUCCAGCUCUUCUAUCUGUAUCUUCUUCUUUUGCCUGUCUAGCUUUAAUUCUGUCACUUCCUUGGCCUUCUCCUCCAGUUCACGGUCACAAGCCUCAAGAGCCAUGCGGGCUUUCUUAAACAUUCUCAUCUUCUCAUCAGCCACCAACUCCAUCUUCCUUGUAGCCUCUUGUACCACUUCAGCAAUUCGGUUACAUGCCUCCUGUGGAGCUAUUAGCCUUCCACCCUCCCCAUUUUCCAAGCUCUUAGGAGAGUCUACCUCAAGUUCUGCGAAAAAUAUAAGAAUUACUUUGCAGGCUGUUGACUCUGGAAUUCCACCCUUCAUUUUAUCAAUAAGUUCCUCACAUUUCCAAAAAAGUUUCCUGCCUCUGUUGUCUUCACUUCCUCGGAAGAUUCUACUGACAAAAUCAAGUUCUCUCAUUAAAGCCUCUCGAUCCCAUGCUGGUGCACAAUGUUGAAAAACAUCUUUCACCCACCCUAGGAGUUCAGAUGUUCGAUUACAGGCCCGGCAUCGAAAAAGCAUUUCAGCUGGGCCAGAUCCACUCUUUACAGAAGGGCCCAUAGAAAUUUGUCCAUCACGAAUAGCACAAUCAGUGUGAGUCCAAUGAGAACAUAGAUCGCACCCAAUCCAACGACAAGUAUUGACUUCAAAAUCAAACUUGUUACAGAUCACACACAUGCACAGAUUGCAAAAACCUUUCCUAUUGGAACAUAUUUCACAAGUACAAUCAGCAGCUGGAAGUUGAUUUUGGCAUGCUAUGUUUCUGCAUCUCUUGAAAACAAAGACCUCAAUGAGGGAUGUUUGAGAAAGACUAAUACUUGGAUGCAAAAAUGCUUGAAUUCCAGUAUUUAUUGCAACAAGGAUUUCAAGCUGCACCCGGUGUGCUCUAAUUAAUGUCUUCGCGGUCAAAUCAGAUCUAACCUGAACAGACCUCUGCAGAAUCGAAAAUUCCUCUCUAUGCUGUGAACCACCAGUUCCUUCUAGUAUAACUCGGAGCCCAUUCUUUAGCUCUUCUAGAAACUCAUCAGGCAAAUGAUGCAUCUUUUCAGAAAUAAUAUCAACUCGUUCUCUUGCUAUGUCACGAAGAGAUAUCUUAUCAGCACUAGAAACACGGUGAAUGACGGACUGUACAGGGCAAUCAUUUUCUGUUUUUCCAUUCUCCAUCUUCUUGGCCAUUACAGCAUCAGCAGUAGGCCAAGUUUCUCUAGAACUAGCACUCUCACUAGGGGACUCACGGAUAUUAUCCGAGUUUGAUCUGAGUUCUUGAGCAUCAGGAGACAGGUGAGGAUCUGAAGAGACUAGGGACAGGGAAGUCUGUAGUCCUCCAGGGCGGGGUUGCUGACGUGGAGGCAACAUUUUUGUUGAAGGCUGGUGGUGGAUGUUAGAACCAGAUGAUGUACCCAUCAACCAAUGUUGCCUAAUCAGAGAAAACCGAGUUGAGCGGAUGGAGAGACGAAGCAAUAAGGUGUACACGGAAGAAGCAGAGAGAAGAAAAAGCGAAAGUUUCGAUCAAAGAGGUAGGACUUUUACUAUUUUGCCCCUGAGAGAAGAGUUUACCCAGAAAUACCCACGACUCUACCAGGGACAUGGGUGGACAAAAGGACUGUAAGAGAAGACCGCUGGUUUUAUCUUUUUUUUUUUUUUUCUCAACGUCGAAAUGACCGGCUCAGCCGGUAGUGUUCAGUAUGUUGACCGGCAUAGUGCGUCCACGUUUCCCUUCUUUUUUGGUAUGUUCUCCAAUUGCUGACCUGUUAAACAAGUUGCUGUAGGAAUCAAAACACGGUAGUUUCAUCUUUUAUUUUUGUUUUUCUUUUGAGUGAAUAAGUAAUUAUUUGUCCUAAUUAUUGACAGAUUCAUAAUCUUUGAAAAUUAAAUUAAUUAAUCCAUAAUUUUUUUGUUUAAAAUUAAUUCUUAAUUAUUUAAUACCUGAACCAAUUUUUUCCUUUAAUUAACUGUUAAAAUUAAUACAAAUUUUAAAUUACGUAAAAUUUUAAAAAUCUCCUCAAUUAACAAUUUUCUUCAAAUUAUUUUGAAAAUAAUUUGAAAGAAAUUCAAAUCAGAUUUUCCUAUGUAAGAACCAUAAAAUUUUCUCUCCAUAUCUAAGGUACUAAGCAUCUAAAUCAUUUGGGCAACCUUUUUUAUAUCAUUUUCCCCUUUUUCUGUUCAUGAAAAGAGAAUGGAGAGAUGGAAAUAAUAAUAAUAUACUCGCGAUAUUGGUAAUGAGAAAUCUUGGAAACUCCAGACAUUUGACUGUCCAAUUUGCCUAACAUGCAACUCUCUCAUCUAUGAACUGCGCCCUAAAAUUUUUCCCGAGUGUUAUGCGUCUGGAAACAAGGGAAUGGAGAAACAAAAAUACGCUUGUUGUUGCCAUCUUCACUUGCGACUACCGACUUCAAGUGGCUCAACCACCUCAGCUUCUAAUGUUUCUGGGAUGUGAGGUUGAGGAGAUGCAUGAGUAGACCAUUUCCCUGAUAUGGCAAUGCCCAUCAUCUCAUAUAUCUUCCCACCAAGCUGUGCUGGAUUCUCAGGCUGCAUGAAUCAGAGAAUUAGUUAGACAACACCGAAAGCUGGGGCACAUGAAGAAGCAAGUCUAAUCAUUCACUUUUAUUACUCCCAUAGCUUAAUAUUAGAAAAAAAACUUUCAUGAACCCCAAUGACAAGUAGAUCAUGAUUCAUCAGAAAAGCCACAAGUAGACUAACUGCACUAGCAUAAAGACUUACAGUAAACCCACUGGAGACUAAAGCUGCAUCAUAAAGAAGAUCAAUAGCUUUCAGGGCAUCUUCAUCAUCUGGGUUAAUCCUGCAUGCCUCAUUUAAGUUCUUAAUUAUUGCAUGUUCAGGAUUGAUCUCAAACACUCUUCUGCCUCUCAUGAAUUCCAGGCUAGACAUGUCACCAACUGUUUGUGACUUCAUUAGCCUUUCCAUGUUGGCAGACCAACCAAAUUUCCCAGAUACAAGAACGCAGGGUGAGGAGCUCAGGCGGUUUGAGAUUUGUACACUGGCAACUUUGUCACCCAAACGCUUCUUAAUCCAAUCACAAGUUUGGCCAAACUCCUGCUUCAUCUCCUUCUCUUUUUCCUCAUUCUUAUCACCUAAAUCCAAGUCUUCCUUGCUGAUAUCAACAAAAUUCUUCUCCUUGUAUGAUUUCAGGUUCUGGACAGCAACCUCAUCAAUGGGAUCAACUAAGAACAGCACUUCAAGAUCCUUCUCAAUAAGUUUCUCUAGGAAAGGUGUGUUCUUGGCACUGGUCACACUAUCAGAAGCAAUAUAAUAGAUAUCCUUCUGAUCAGGUUUCAUGUUCUCUACAUAUUCAUCCAAGCUUAUCAUCUCCUCCUCACUCUGGGAAGAGAAGAAUCUAAGCAGUGGCGCAAUACGCUUGUGGUUUUCACGAUCCUCAAUGCAACCCAAUUUCAAAUAUUUGCCAAAGUUCUCCCAGAACUUCUCAUAGUCUUCUCUAUUCUCACUCAUAGAUAUUCCCAAAAUCAUGUCAAAGGCCUUUCGAACCAAUCGUUUCCGCAUGAUCCGUACAAUACGACUUUCUUGAAGAAUUUCACGUGAAACAUUGAGAGGAAGAUCAUUCGAGUCCACGACACCUUUCACAAAGCUUAGAUACCGAGGGAACAGCUCUCCAUCAAAAUCAUCUGAAAUGAAUACUCUUUUCACAUAGAGCCUGAUAUUUUUUGUCUUGGGAUUAACUAUGUCAUCCUUUCCUGUAGGAGAAACAGCUGGCACAUAUAGUACAGAUCUGAACUCCACCUCACCCUGUGAAAUCAACCAUCAUCAUCUCCCGAAGCAGUAGGCAAAUUUGAGAAAGGGAAAAUCAGGAAUUAGAGUCGAACAUUUAGUCAAUAGUAAAAAAUUGAUCAACUUUCUCUUGGUUUUUACCAUAAGAUGAUUAUCACCUUUUCUAGAAGCAAAUACUAAAUGAGAUCCUACAAAUUGAUGAGACCAUUUUUCAAUCAUAGAAACUAAUAUAUAAAAAUCAUUAAUUGAAGCAAUCAUCAAAGUUGCAAUUGCUAUUACCUCUGUUGUGAAAUGUGAGGAUGCUAAUGGUUCCAAGUAUUCAUUAAAUGUUUUCUUGUAAAACUCA